UACGUAGGGGGCUAGCGUUGUCCGGAAUCAUUGGGCGUAAAGAGCGUGUAGGCGGUCCGGUAAGUCCGCUGUGAAAGUCGGGGGCUCAACCCUCGAAUGCCGGUGGAUACUGUCGGGCUAGAGUGCGGAAGAGGCGAGUGGAAUUCCUGGUGUAGCGGUGAAAUGCGCAGAUAUCAGGAGGAACACCAAUGGCGAAGGCAGCUCGCUGGGACGUUACUGACGCUGAGACGCGAAAGCGUGGGGAGCAAACAGG
rnacentral:rRNA from 1 species